rnacentral:rRNA from 1 species
AUUGAACGCUGGCGGCAGGCCUAACACAUGCAAGUCGAGCGAGCGGCGGACGGGUGAGUAAUGUCUGGGAAACUGCCUGAUGGAGGGGGCUAACUACUGGAAACGGUAGCUAAUACCGCAUACAAUAAGAUGUGCCCAGAUGGGAUAAGUUAGUAGGUGGGGGAACGGCUCACCUAGGCGACGAUCCCUAGCUGGUCUGAGAGGAUGACCAGCCACACUGGAACGGAGACACGGUCCAGACUCCUACGGGAGGCAGCAGUGGGGAAUAGUGCACAAUGGGCGCAAGCCUGAUGCAGCCAUGCCGGGUGUGUGAAGAAGGCCUUCGGGUUGUAAAGCACUUGCAGCGGGGAGGCGUUACCCGCAGAAGAAGCACCGGCUAACUCCGUGCCAGCAGCCGCGGUAAUUG